rnacentral:rRNA from 1 species
UAAUACGAAGGGGGCUAGCGUUGCUCGGAAUUACUGGGCGUAAAGGGCGCGUAGGCGGAAGUCUCAGUCAGGCGUGAAAGCCCCGGGCUCAACCUGGGAACUGCGCUUGAGACGGGAUUUCUUGAGGGCGAGAGAGGGUGGUGGAAUUCCCAGUGUAGAGGUGAAAUUCGUAGAUAUUGGGAAGAACACCGGUGGCGAAGGCGGCCACCUGGCUCGCAUCUGACGCUGAGGCGCGAAAGCGUGGGGAGCAAACAGG